rnacentral:tRNA from 1 species
GCCCAGGUGGUGAAAUUGGUAGACACGCCAGCUUCAGGUGCUGGUGAUCGCAAGGUCGUGGAUCUGGGCACCA